rnacentral:rRNA from 1 species
GUGCAGCAGGCGCGAAACCUCCGCAAUGCGGGAAACCGCGACGGGGUCAGCCGGAGUGCUCGCGCAUCGCGCGGGCUGUCGGGGUGCCUAAAAAGCACCCCAUAGCAAGGGCCGGGCAAGGCCGGUGGCAGCCGCCGCGGUAAUACCGGCGGCCCGAGUGGCGGCCACUUUUAUUGGGCCUAAAGCGUCCGUAGCCGGGCUGGUAAGUCCUCCGGGAAAUCUGGCGGCUUAACCGUCAGACUGCCGGAGGAUACUGCCAGCCUAGGGACCGGGAGAGGCCGGGGGUAUUCCCGGGGUAGGGGUGAAAUCCUGUAAUCCCGGGAGGACCACCUGUGGCGAAGGCGCCCGGCUGGAACGGGUCCGACGGUGAGGGACGAAGGCCAGGGGAGCGAACCGGAUUAGAUACCCCCGUAGU